GUAAGAUGAUGAAAACAUGCGUGUCAUUUGACCCAUGUGUAACAUUCAUUUACUGCUGAGAUUGUAAUGUUUUAUUGCAGUUUAUUGUAGUCUUUGAAUUGUGCACUUGGUAAAUGAUUUCAUUUUAUUCUGAUUAC